CCUGGUUGAUCCUGCCAGUAGUCAUAUGCUUGUCUCAAAGAUUAAGCCAUGCAUGUCUAAGUAUGAACUAAUUCAAACUGUGAAACUGCGGAUGGCUCAUUAAAUCAGUUAUAGUUUUUUUGAUGGUACCAUAAUACUCAGAUAACCAUAUUAAUUAUAGAGCUAAUACGUGCACCAAGUCCCGACUCUUUGGAAGGGAUGCAUUUUUUAGAUAAAAGGCCGGCGCGGGCUUGCCCGCUUCUCUGGUGAAUCAUGAUAACUCGACGGAUCGCACAACCCUUGUGUUGGUGAUGCUUCAUUCAAAUUUAUGCCCUAUCAACUUUUGAUGGUAGGAUAGAAGCCUACCAUGGUGGUUCCAGGUGACGGAGAAUUAGGGUUCGAUUCCGGAGAGGGAGCCUGAGAAACGGCUACCACAUCCAAGGAAGGUAGCAGGCGCGCAAAUUACCCAAUCCUGACAUGGGGAGGUAGUGAUAAUAAAUAACAAUACUGGGCUCAUCGAGUCUGGUAAUUGGAAUGAGUACAAUCUAAAAACGAGGAUCCAUUGGAGCGCAAGUCUGGUGCCAGCAGCCGCGGUAAUUCCAGCUCCAAUAGCGUAUAUUUAAGUUGUUGCAGUUAAAAAGCUCGUAGUUGGAUCUUGGGUCGUAAAGGUUGGUCUGCCUACUCUGUGUGCACCUGCCCUUCCGUCCCUUUUGUCGAUGGCGUGCUCCUGGCCUUAAUUGGCUGGGUCGCGGCUCCGACGUUGUUACUUUGAAAAAAUUAGAGUGCUCAAAGCAAGCUUAUGCUUUGAAUACAUUAGCAUGGAAUAACGUGAUAGGAGUCUGGUCCUAUUGUGUUGGCCUUCGGACCCGGAGUAAUGAUUAUUAGGGACUUUCGGGGGCAUUCGUAUUUCAUUGCCAGAGGUGAAAUUCUUGGAUUUAUGAAAGACAGACCACUGCGAAAGCAUUUUCCAAAGAUGUUUUCAUUAAUCAAGAACGAAAGGACUUUGAAAAGAGAGUUAAAGAGUGCUUGAAAUUGCCGAGAGGGAAGCGGAUGGAGGCUGUCGAUGCGUCUCAGUCGGAUGUGGAACAGCUCAGGCUAAUCUGCCACUCGACUUGAGGUGCAAAUCAACACGGGCUACUGCAUCGUCACAAGCGCGGUUGGAUUGCCGCCUGUCUGUUUGCCACUGCGGUGGUCGAGGAACGAAGCGUGCACCCUUCUGGCGGGCCGUGUGCACCUACGCGCUCGUGGUGUUGGUUGGUGGGCUUUCCAUUCGACCCGUCUUGAAACACGGACCAAGGAGUCUAACAUGUGUGCGAGUCGGCGGGUUUGAAAACCUGCGAGGCGCAAGGAAGCUGACGGGCGAGAUCCCCUCUCUUGGGGGGGUGCAUCGUCGACCGACCUUGAGCUUAUGCGAAGGGUUCGAGUGCGAGCACACCUGUUGGGACCCGAAAGAUGGUGAACUAUGCCUGAGCAGGGCAAAGCCAGAGGAAACUCUGGUGGAGGCUCGUAGCGAUACUGACGUGCAAAUCGUUCGUCUGACGCGCGCGUUUUAUCGGGUAAAGCAAAUGAUUAGAGGCAUCGGGGGCGUAACGCCCUCGACCUAUUCUCAAACUUUAAAUAGAUAAGAGGGUGUGGCUACUCCAUUGAGCCGCGCCAUGGAAUCGAGAGCUCCAAGUGGGCCAUUUUUGGUAAGCAGAACUAGCG
rnacentral:rRNA from 1 species